GCAAAGACGACAUUUACCAUCAGAAUACUCAGGUGGUUCACCAGUGAGGAACUUAAGAGGAUGCAAGGAGUGGUAAGAGUGGUUUACCUCUGGUGAGUAAUUUAGCUCUGAUGCUUCUGGGUGCCAUACACAUUCCACAGGAAAGGCUACAUCACAUUCUUCACAUUUGUACGAAAGUCCAUAAGCCUUCCCGCAUUUAGCAGAACAGUCGAACACGGUAUUCUUCUUGACAAGUGUGAGCUUGUGGGAGUGCGUCUCGAAAUUGUCAAUAACAUCUGGUGGUGGGUACUUGGCACAGUGUAGAUCCAUGUCGAAGUCGCACCCGUCACAACAACGAUAGCACAGAUUCUUGAUUUUCCUUUCGCAUAUAUCGCAUACGUGACCGCGUAUUCCUUGAAGCCGGAGAGUGUGGUCAGGGUGAGCUGGGUGGUCGAUGAUGAACUCAGUGAGCUCGCCACAUUCCUUGUGCACGAAAAAAUCACAGAGUUUACAAUAGUAGCCAUCACUCUGAGAUACAUAUCGUCCACAACAAUCACCUCUCCUCAGAUCAUUCCAAGGCAUCAUAGGAUGCUCGUGGAUCAAUGGUAACAACACUCCCUCAGAUUCCAUUUUUCUCUCUCGUAUACAAAGAUCUAAGGGGAAGAAGAUGGGGAAUAUCAAAGUUAGAUCAAAGUUUAAGGCUAGGUUAGAUUGUUAGUCACACAAUAGGCGUUCUUAAUAAAAUAAUAGAGACUUACGUAUUCAUAUCGAACCUUGCUGGUCAUUUUUAAAAUAGUUAUCGUUGUUGAUUAUUUUUUGAAACACACUUAUAUUAAAAGCUCAGACCAAAGUAGGUGGAGCCAUCAAAGCUAGUUCAACAGCCAAACUCUGUUUCGCUAGCAUAUCCGCUUCUACAUUUCUCACUCGGGAGAUCCAAUUAAAAGAACAACAUUCAAAAGAUGAAGCUAAAGAGACAAUGUCAACCAGGACCCCAUAGAGGCCAGCCAGCGAUGUUCCGGAUUUGAGGGCCUUUAUUAAGACAGCUGAGUCUGAUUCGAUUCUGAUUCUGGAGAGUCCCAGUUCUUGACACUUUCCUAGCGCUUCUCUGAGUGCCAGAGCCUCUGCCGCUAAAGGAGAUCUCACAUGGUGAGUAGGAGUCGAGUAAGAUGAGGUUCCUUGUUGUGAUUCCACCGUCCAUCCUAAACCUGCAACCAUUAAAUUUUCGUUCCAAGCAGCAUCAGUUUUUAUUAGCGCAGAGUUUGUCGCUGCUGUAGAUGCAGGGGGCAGAGCACGCUUCAUUGGUGCCUCUGUUUGCUGGCAUGCGUUCCAUUCCCUUGCAGCAGCUAGAGCCUUGGAGAGGUUGUCGGUUGCGGAGAUGGUCUUGUCCUUGAACACCAGAUUGUUUCUUGCCGUCCAGAUAUGCCACAGGAUCCAAGGUGCCAACUGUCCUUCUGCAACUCCCGUUGGAGGUAAGUUCGUCUUAGUCACGAGACUGAUCCAUGAAUUUCUUAAGACUAUAGAUUCAUUGUACUCGAUUCUAGGUAAAACAGGGGCCGAGAGCCACAUUUGUUUUGCAUAAGAACAAUGAAAGAACAAGUGAUCUAUAGUUUCAGGCAUGUUGCAUCUUUUACACGUUCCAUCGACGUUGAUGUGUCGGGCCCUAAGCGCUUCUCCCGCUGGGAUUGCCCCAUGUAGUGCCUUCCACACAAACAGCUUUGUCUUUGGUGACGUUUUGAGACUCCAGACUGCCUUCUUCCAGUUGAAGGCCAGGUCCUCUUGUGUGAUAUCCAUUGGAUUCACUCUGUGGGAGAGAGCUGUCGCAUAACCAGAUUUGGUAGUAUACUCUCCUGACUUGGAGCUCAGCCAAGCGAGCCUAUCUGGUGCUCCCGUGCGGCUUGGUUUGAUCAUUGUGAUCCUGUGUUCCUCCUGAGGGAGCACCAGUCUGAUCAGAUCAACAUCCCAUUCGUAGUUUGGCAGCAUGAGAUCUGCCACAGUUAGAUGUUGGAAUUCCAUUGGCGCCGGCCCCAUUGGUCUCUCUUGAGCCUCGCAGCUGAGCCACGGUUUGUCCCAAAUGUUAAUGCUCUCUCCAUUACCCACUUCCCAGCCUGCAUUUUCCAUAAUUAAGUCACGUCCUAUAAGAACGCUUCUCCAUCCGUGUGAGAUCGCACUCUUUGCUGUUACUGUCAGGAAGUCCUCCGAGUUACAGUAUUUCCCAAGGAGGAUUCGGCUUAGUAGCUUGUCUGGAUUGUUUAUGAUUCUCCAGCUCAACUUGGCUAGGAAAGCUUCAUUGAAACUUUGAAUAUCUCUAAAAUCCAGUCCCCCCUGUUCCAUGGGUCUUAUUAGCUUUUGCCAUGCAAUCCAAGCCAUCUUCUUUUUUUCCAUAUUAUCAUCCCACCAGAAUCGAGUGAGCGUCGACUGUAUUUGUUGGCAAAGGGACACAGGGAGUUGGAAACAGGACAUUGCGUGUGAAGGGAUAGGAGAUAAGACGCUCUUCAGCAUUGUCAUCUUGCCCGCCGUCGAUAAGAAUCGGUUGGACCAACCUCGCGCCUUUUGCUUGAUUCUGUCGAUGAUGGACGCGAAGUUAUCCCUCUUAGAUCUUCCAAAAUGUUCCGGGAGGCCUAGAUAUUUGCCAACUCCCCCCUCUUUUUCGAUAAGCAAAGUGCCUUUGACUAGAGACUUCAAAGCCCUCGGGGUCUUCCUAGAGAAAGUGAUUGACGAUUUCUCCACGUUUAUUGUCUGUCCCGACGCUUCCUCAUAUUUUUUGAGGAUGAUGUUUAGAGCCUUGCUACAUUCCUUGCUGGCUCGUACAAAAAACAUUGUGUCGUCCGCAAAGAGGAGGUGGUUGAGUCGAGGAGUCCCCCGAGCUACUUUGAUCCCUUUGAGGGAUCCCUCCUCUUGAGCUUUGUUACACAGACCCGAGAGUACCUCACUACAUAGUAUGAAGAUGUAAGGUGAGAGUGGAUCUCCUUGACGGAUACCACGACUCGGUGUGACUCUUCCUCUAGGAGAACCGUUAAUGAGGAAGGAGUAUGUAACAGUAGACACGCAUUGCAUGAUCCACGAGAUCCAUUUGGGAUGAAAUCCUAGUCUCUGGAACACCAGCCGGAUAAACUCCCAUUCGAGACGAUCAUAGGCUUUGCUCAUGUCGGUUUUGACCGCCAUAGCGCAUCUCUUUGCAGCGUCUGACGUUUUGAGGUAAUGGAGCACCUCAUGAGUGAUAAGGACAUUGUCCGAGAUUGCCCUCCCUGGCACAAACGCUGAUUGGUUCUCGGAGACAAUGUCUGAUAGGAGCGGUUGGAGUCUCUUCGUCAAAAUCUUGGAGAUGAUUUUGUAGUAGACGUUGCAGAGAGCUAUAGGUCUAUACUCCGUAACGCGCUGCGGACUAGGGAUCUUUGGGAUGAGCCGGAUGUGCGUUUCAUUUAUCGUGGACGGGAGAGUGUCCGUGAUAAAAAAUUCCUGAAUCUCCUUCACGAUGUCGCAACCGAUAUUCUCCCAAUUUGUAUGGUAGAAACUCGCGGAGAAGCCAUCGGGGCCAGGUGCUUUAUCAGCAUGGAUAGAGAAGACUGCGUCUUUGAUUUCCACUGCUGUUGGUACCGCUAUCAGUUCUUCAUUCAUCUCGUCUGUCACCAUUGGAGACAGCGCCUGUCUAACCGUUUCCUCCCUAUUCCCUUCGAUUGCUUCAAAAAGCUUCUGGAAAUAGCUUACUACGACCUUCCCAAUCUGAUCUUCUUGAUAGACCAUAGUGCCCAAUUCAUCCUCAAUAACUGAAAAGGCGUUAGCCCUCUUUCGGUUUUUGGCAAUAGCAUGGAAGUACCCGGUGUUCCUAUCUCCGAGGCUUAACCACAGCAAGCGACUCCUUUGUCUCCAAUAUUCUUCCUCUGAGAUGUAGGCAUCGUUGAGCUCGUUAGAUACUCUCGUUAUGAGUUCUGUAUCAUUCUUCGGGUCGGUUAGAGCUACCUCCAGUUCCUCUUUCUUCUUCUCUAUUUGCUUCCUGCUGUUUUGAUAUUGUUGCUUGCUCCACUGGAUUAAAGCCGAUCUCACGAGUCUGAUCCUGUCAUUGACAGUAGCGUGUGGAUCAUUUUUCCAAGCCUGCUUUACUAGCUCUUUCACCUCGGCAUUGUUCUUGAGUCUUCUAUCGUAACGGAACAAUCCACGUCGCUUCUUCUUGUCCGGUUCGAAGAAAGAUACUAUGGGCUUGUGGUCUGACCCUUCGUAAGUGAGAUAAUGGGAUCGCGCAUUUGGGAAUAACUCAGCCCAGUGGCUAUUCGCCGCCGCUCGGUCCAGGCGACAUCUUACUAAGUAGUCUCCUCUCUUUCCUCGCCAUGAAAGGAAAUCUCCGGAAUGCUGUAAGUCGUACAGGUCACCUUCAGAAUAAAAGGUUCGCAUGUCAGUAAAGGAACCUUCAGACCGCUCUGGUCCUCCGUCCUUUUCUGCGUUGUUGAGGAGGUCAUUAAAAUCUCCUGUCACAAACCAAGGAGCAUCUCUGGUUUCGCUUAGCACUAUUAGGCUGUCCCAUAGGGUUCUUCUCUUGGGUUUAUCCGUAUCACCAUAGAUGAACGAUGCAAAAAAAUUCUUUCCUUCAAAUUCAAUAUUUGUAUCGAUACAAUUUGCAGAAGAACUAAGAACUUGGAGCUUUAUCUCCUGUUUCCAAAAUAAAGCAAGACCUCCAGCUCCAUGCCCUAUAGGUGAUAUCAGGUAAGAGUUUUCGUAUUGUAGCUGCUUCGUCUUCUUCAUGACGAAGCUGUCGGGAUUUUUUGUUUCCAUGAGGAAAAGAAUGUCCGGGAAGAUGUCUCUCUUCAUCUCCUUUAGACGUCGAACUGUCCGGGGAUUCCCUAACCCUUGACAGUUCCAACUCGCCACUUUUAAGGAGCGAGAGUAGACGGAUUUCGAAAAUCCGUCUUUUUCUUCGAUCUCGAUGGGAUCAUGUUGCAUAUGGGCUGAUUAUCUGAGCUCGCCGCUGAGUUUCCCGCCUCUCGGGAGUUUGAUUGUCUGGCGCGACCUCUCUGUCUUGUAUCAACUGCAUCAUCCGUGUUCAGUUUCCUUCGAACUGUAGGAGGUUUUGUUUGUAGAGUUUUCCUUUUCUUGGAGUUAGAUCCUUUGAUAAGCCUCGGGCUCUGAUGGACCCUGCGACGUCCUGGGGGUCUUCCCAGUUUUUUCUUUUCAGGGACCGCCGUAGCUUCACUAACCGCAAUGGGUGAUGGCCCAAGUCUUAAGAUGGCUGGGAUUCUCUCUGCUGAGGUCUUCAUAUCCUGUGGUAGCUCUUCUUCCAUAGCCGCUUUAUCUUGGUUUGCUUGUAUCAUAAGUAAGGCGGUUUCCUCCAGCUCUCCUUCUUCUUCUGCUUUUCUCAUUCUUUCUCUUCUAGCUGCACUUUCUGUUGGGUCAGCGCACUUUGUGUAUUGAAGCAUGGCUUCUCUGACUUCUUCUAUGGCUUCGCUAAGAGCUUCCCGUGGCCCUGUCUGUUGCUGAUCAUUCAAAGCCUCAUUCCUGGUCGGGUGCUCUUCUGUCUCCCUUGCUGCUCCUCCUUCUGCUCUUCGGCUUUCAGUUCGUCCUCUCCGUGUAGGGGACAUGUUGGUUUUUUCUUGUUGUCUGUAUUCUUCCCUUUGAUGUCGGGACGAGACUUCUCUAUUUUGGUGAUCAAGGUCUUUGUAGUAAGAGGACCUACUGCCAUAGCUUCCUGGUCUGUCCUUUGAUCCGUCUCUAAAUUGUCUUCGGUUUACAGUAUCCUGACUAGAGCGGUAUCGUCUCCUCUCCUCUAGACUAUGGCGAGCAUCAUAGCGGUACUCCCUGGAGUACUGGCUCCUGCUUCUUCGGUGAUGAUCCUCUCCGUUGGGAUUGGAGGCUGAGAAAUGAUAAAUAUUCGACUCAGUUCUUUGCUUUGUUUCGUUCCCCGGUGGUUCAUUGGCCUCAGAGAUAGCUCUGCGCUGAUUCUCUUGUGCCUUAGCUUCUCUGUCUUGGUGUUUAGCAACCAGACAGUCUUUCACCUCGUGGUCCAAUCUGGAACAUUUAGAACAGUGUCUCUCAAGCUUUUCGUACACAAAAGUAGCAGUAACCUCGUCCCCAUUGGAGUACUCGAUUACUGAGGAUUUGAUCAGUGGAAGCAGUCCAUUGACUUGCACUCUCAUCUUCACACCGGUUUGUGUGAUUUCCAUUGAUUCAAACAACCCCAGGUUCUCGCCUAGGUCUUGUAUAGUUUCCUCCGCCCAGAGGUGGAUCGGGAUUCCUUGGACUUUUAUCCAGAAUGGGAGCAGGGAUGGGAAGUCUCUGGAAACUGUUGGCUCCCAGCGCUGGACUAUAACCAUCCAUUUUGCGUAGUGGUAAGGUCGUUUCUCCAGAACUGAUAUCAAAUCUGUCUCACGCUCAAAUUGGAACUGGAAUAGUCCAUUACCGAGAUCGGAGCCUACAGGUCGACGGUCUGUCUUCCAUAGCUCAGUAAAGAAAGGGAUGAGCGCCCAUAUCUUUUGGGUAGAUUGGUUUGUUACUCUGCCGAUUAGGGUGAGUGAGAACUUAUGGUUGAGUGCUGAGGUAUCUGGAGCUUUAGCUUUGAUGGUUGGUUUUCUUGGAGCUUGGUGGUAGUCGGAUGCUAAGCUCUUUCCUUUGUCUUCUUUGGAUAGUCGUCCUGCCAUUGGUCGUUGGUCUAAUUUUCCUACGGUCGAAUUUUGAGAGAUUGUCACUGUAAGUUGCGAAGACAGUCGAUUCCGACAGGAUUUGGUCGUCUUUGAGUUUGAGAUUUAGCUUAAACUUUGCUUCUUCAGAUACAGGAUUCCCUGUUUCACCAAUCAAGAAGGGUAUUGUUCAGGAGACCAUCUGGGAGCCUGCUGUGUUCCACAUUGUGGUGAGAGCCGGCGGAAAGAAGUGGCUGGAGCGGUCCCUCCGACGACCGUCGGGGGAAGAACCCGGUGGGUAGAGCCCCGGUGCCGUUUAUUAUCCAAUGGUCCGUUCUUCAAAAGGUAACAAUUUGAAAAAACAGGGGGAAUAGCAGUGGUUUUUUGCCAGAAUCAGUAAAAACCAGACGGUAUCAGCAAAACUUACUGCUUCGGACUCGUGGAUAAAGACUUCUCCCGAAACCCGUGCCUGAGAGCGUUUUUGCCGUUUUAAAAAAACUCAGUUAUCGUUGUUGAUUAUUUAACUAUAUUUUGGACAUAAACUGACAAUACACCUAUGAGAAAAUAUUUUUUUUUCCGUUGAACUUGUAUGGUGGCGAGUGACAAUAAUAAGUGCUCUAGCUGUUGCAUUUGUAUAUUGUAUAUUGAAUAUUGAGAACACAGCUAUCCCAAGGAGCUCUAGCUGUUGCAUUUGUACAUUGUAUAAUGAAUAUUAAAUACACAGCUGUUCCAAGGUGCUCUAGAUGUUGUAAUAGUAUAUUGAAGAUUGAAUUAACAGCUAUUCCACGGUAUAUGUGGAAAGCCUAAUCGUAUAAAAAAAAAGUAAAUGUUUUUUAUAUAUUAAAAAUAGAAGUAAAUAUGAUUGAUACUAACGGCUAUGUAAUUUAGUGAGGGAAAGUCAGUUCUUAGUUUCAUAGUCAGUUCUCAGUUUCAUCUGUCUAGUGGAAUGUAAUUACAAGGUGUAUAUAUAAUUCAAAACAGCACUUGUAUAUGUUCUGAAACAGACAGUGAUUUUAGUCUCAUAAGCAAAAGUGUCAAACACACUUGGUGCAGAAGUAGUGCUUAUGUCGGGAAACCCUGUGAGAUCACCCUCCUCAUGUCUCAAACACUAAGCUUAGGGCAGAAAUCUAAACUCACAAAAGGAGAAGUAAACUCAUCGAAACAAGCUAUCCUGAUACGUUCUGGAGUCGCAGGAGUGACCAAAGGGAACCAUUUCCUGCCAAGACCCACCUCGGCUCGAGCCGCUUUGAUCGCAUCUUUAAUCGCAAAGAGAACAAAUGAUGGUGAUAUAUGUGUGAUAACACUCGUUAUACACUGUUUCACAGUGAUGGUUCUUUCAGUCCUCAAGAAAUCUAUUACCUAUAGUUUUUAAGAAGCAGCGGUUGGUGACGCAUUUGGAACCUAUCAAGAUAUAGAGCACAAAACAUAGUUACAUCUCAACUAUUUAGCUUGAUAUGUUUAUAAUAAAUGUACCUUGCCGGUGCUUGUUUCUGAUACAAAAACGGAACUAAGGGGAAUGUUAAAGGCAGACGCAGAAACUUGAGCAACUUUUGUAUGCAAUCCUUGACCCAUCUCUACACCUCCAUGCGUCACCAAAACAGUGUACACAUGAACAAGUGCACCUGCCUAACACCACAUAAUCAAAAACUCUGUUUCUUGCUUCUCAAGAAAUAGUAGUGCAAGAUGGAUUACCUGGUUCAUGAAGUUUUUGGUAAACCAUACGCCAAACUUUGUGGGAACCAUAGCCAUAAUCAAAAUAAAUAAAUAUACAAGUACACAACACUAGUUACGCUCUGUUUCACAGUUAUCAUUCUUUUAGUCCUCAAGAAUCUGCUGUCUAUAUUUUUAAAGAAAACAGCUCGCCUUUUGAUAUUACAUUAGGGAGAUCAACUGAAAGUGGAAGUGAACUUGUCCGAAGGAAGAAUGUAAGAAACUGAUACGAAUAAACAUCUUAACGAUUUAUCUCGCUGGACCUGUCCAACUCAAUAAGAAUGAUAAUAAAAUAAAAUGCGCACUCAAGAGAGCAAGCGUACGUCCCUGAGGUUCCAAGCAACUUGAGUUUGAUAGGGUACAUGCAACGAGACUUGCACCAAAUGCAAAAUGGGCGAGUUACACUAUUAUUCAGCACCACCUCAGUUGGUUUCCCCCACAAUUUUGCUACGCUUCUUGGCAUGAGCCCUGUACAGUCUCCGAGCACACACAUUGUAUGCAAACUAGCUUGUUGAUUUUUACACGUGUAAAACCAUUCCUUUGGAUUCGUUUCUUUCUCACAAAUGUCACACCAGUAUUUACCACUUGCCUCUUCUUCUUGGCUAUAGCAGAGUGAGAGAGGAUGAUCGUCUACUAUGUGUUUUACCACUUGUGGUAGAGUGGCGCAUUUGAAGCCCAGUACAAAUCCACAAUCACCUUCAAUGCACCGAAGCAUAUGAUGUUCCCUUCUGUUGCAACCAUUGCAUAUUUCUUCUUCUUCGGUUGGAAUGUAAUAUAAGGGAUGGUGAAUAUGACUUGGAUGGAAAAAUGGUUCAGAAACUGAACCACACAAGACAUCUAGUUUCCUAUUCCCAUCCUUGUACAUGAAACCACUGGAUGCUCGAUCGCAAACAAGACAGUUGAAGACUUCUAGCUCCUCGUUUGUAACUAAAGUGAGCCGGUCAUUGUGUAGCACAUGCCGUUUCAUUUUAGGACAUUCAGCACACUUAUGAUGUAGAUAAAAAUCACAAUCCACACAGCCAUAAAAAGAUUGAAGACCGAUGAGAUGGAUGCAUGCGCUGCAUCGUUUGUUCUCCUCGUACCAAACACCAUUCCCAUGGAUUCGUCUUAGGUAAUGCUCUUUGUGGCUGAAAUGUUGUAUUGUGUUUUCAUCUAUCACCACAUAUGGUUCUAUAUCUUCUUCUUCUUCAGGUAUUCCUUCGAGCUCUUUCCCGUUCCACACAUCUUUUCUAGUAGCACAUUUAGAAUGAACCACAUAACCAGGACACCUCUUACAAGAAAAGCCGCCAUAAGUCCAAUCCACCUUCUUGCGACAAACUCCGCAGACAGAAUUCAUAGCAGCGUCACCAAGAACGGAAGUACGAGAAACACGGUGAUCAUGCCGGUUGAUGUUAAUGACACGUGGAAGGCCAAGACAAUCUUGAUGGAUCAUGAAACCACAAUCAAAACAUGCGUAAGGGCUUCGAUCUCCCUUUAGACCACAAGCAUUACAUGUAAAAGAAUCGAGUCUUGGAAGAAGCGUGAGUUGGUGAUCAUGAACUUUCGGAUCAGCAGAAGAUUUUGGUGGUGGAUUAAAAACACAAGGCAAAUCCACGGUGAAAUUACAAGAUGAACAAUGAUAAAAAUAUUCACCAAUAUCUGUUCCGCAAAGACGACAUUUACCAUCAGAAUAGUGCGGUGGUGGACCUGUGAGGAGCUUAAGAGGAUGCAAGGAGUGGUAAGAGUGGUUUACCUCUGGUGAGUAAUUUAGCUCUUCUGGGUGCCAUACACAAUCCACAUGGAAGGAUACAUCACAUUCAUCACAUUUGUAUGGAAACCCAUCACCACCUCCCUUCCUGCAUUUAGCAGAGCACUCAAACUCAGUCUGUUCCUUGAGAAGUGUGAGCUUG
rnacentral:lncRNA from 1 species